GACCGCGUAGCUCAGUUGGAAGAGCAUUGGGCUGGUAUUCCAAAGGUCGUAGGUUCGAAUCCCGCCGUGCCCA